GUUGAUGAAGAUGUUGUGCUCCAGGCUAACGUAUUUGGGAUGUCCCCAUGUUCUUUGAGUCGUUUUCCUUUAAGUUAUUACAAUAUAUUUUGAUCGAUGAAUUAAAUUCUGCCAAGCCGUUGGUUUUCCAGCGGUGUUUCCUUGCUUCAAAGACAAGCUGACUGUUGUGAAGCUUUAUGUGGCCCGCGACACAAGUCUCAGAAAUUAAAAAAGCCCUUUUAAUAUGCACAAAAUAAUUUCAAUAUAGAGGCACACUUUCCCUUUGAGUUAAAACGUAUUCUUAAAAAAACCAAAUGGACGACUAACUAGCGGGAAUAAAGGAGAGUUGGGAAGAAGAUCAAAUGGUAUGCCUUGAAAUUCUGUUAAAAUGAUACUUCAAUUCUUAAUUGGCAACAACGAAGUUUAAUUUAGCGUCCUUGUUUAGUUGAGACUCCCCAUCAUCAAUUAGUUAUCAAAAGAAUUUGUCAUGGGCAAACUGACGUUGAAACAGAUACUAAAACUAAAAUGAACUAAGGAUUAAUACAUCAGUCAAACUGAGAUGAACUAAGGAUUAAUACAUCAGUCAAACUGAGAUGAACUAAGGAUUAAUACAUCAGUCAAACUGAGAUGAACUAAGGAUUAAUACAUCAGUCAAACUGAGAUGAACUAAGGAUUAAUACAUCAGUCAAACUGAGAUGAACUAAGGAUUAAUACAUCAGUCAAACUGAGAUGAACUAAGU